AGAGUUUGAUCCUGGCUCAGGAUGAACGCUAGCGACAGGCUUAACACAUGCAAGUCGAGGGGCAUCGGGGAUGUAGCAAUAUAUCUGCCGGCGACCGGCGCACGGGUGAGUAACACGUAUGCAAUCUACCCACAGCAGGGGAAUAACCCGGAGAAAUCCGGCCUAAUACCGCGUAGUCCCUGUCCCGGGCAUCCGGGAUGGUGUAAAGGAGCAAUCCGGCUGUGGAUGGGCAUGCGUCGCAUUAGGUAGACGGCGGGGUAACGGCCCACCGUGCCGACGAUGCGUAGGGGUUCUGAGAGGAAGAUCCCCCACACUGGUACUGAGACACGGACCAGACUCCUACGGGAGGCAGCAGUGAGGAAUAUUGGUCAAUGGCCGAGAGGCUGAACCAGACAAGUCGCGUGAGGGAAGACUGUCCUAUGGAUUGUAAACCUCUUUUGUCAGGGAGCAAAGGUUGGCCUGCGGGCCAGUUUGAGAGUACCUGAAGAAAAAGCAUCGGCUAACUCCGUGCCAGCAGCCGCGGUAAUACGGAGGAUGCGAGCGUUAUCCGGAUUUAUUGGGUUUAAAGGGUGCGCAGGCGGCUUGUCAAGCAAGCGGUAAAAUGUCGGGGCUCAACCCCGUCCGGCCGUUUGAACUGGCGAGCUUGAGUAUAUUCGAGGUAAGCGGAAUUCGUGGUGUAGCGGUGAAAUGCAUAGAUAUCACGAAGAACUCCGAUUGCGAAGGCAGCUUACCAGGAUGUUACUGACGCUCAGGCACGAAAGCGUGGGUAUCGAACAGGAUUAGAUACCCUGGUAGUCCACGCAGUAAACGAUGAGCGCUAGGUGUCCGGGACGAUUGAGUUCCGGGUGCCCGAGCGAAAGCGUUAAGCGCUCCACCUGGGGAGUACGCCGGCAACGGUGAAACUCAAAGGAAUUGACGGGGGCCCGCACAAGCGGAGGAACAUGUGGUUUAAUUCGAUGAUACGCGAGGAACCUUACCCGGGCUCAAACGACACAGGAAUAAUUUUGAAAGGAGUUAGCCAGCAAUGGUCUGUGUCGAGGUGCUGCAUGGUUGUCGUCAGCUCGUGCCGUGAGGUGUCGGCUUAAGUGCCAUAACGAGCGCAACCCCUACCGUCAGUUGCCAACGGGUAAUGCCGGGAACUCUGGCGGGACUGCCGGCGCAAGCUGUGAGGAAGGCGGGGAUGACGUCAAAUCAGCACGGCCCUUACGUCCGGGGCGACACACGUGUUACAAUGGCAGGUACAGCGGGAAGCCACCUGGUGACAGGGAGCGGAACCCGAAAGCCUGUCUCAGUUCGGAUUGGAGUCUGCAACUCGACUCCAUGAAGCUGGAUUCGCUAGUAAUCGCGCAUCAGCCAUGGCGCGGUGAAUACGUUCCCGGGCCUUGUACACACCGCCCGUCAAGCCAUGGGAGCCGGGGGUGCCUGAAGUACGUGACCGCAAGGAGCGUCCUAAGGCAAAACUGGUGACUGGGGCUAAGUCGUAACAAGGUAACC
rnacentral:rRNA from 1 species